UACGGGGGGGGGCAAGCGUUGUCCGGAAUUACUGGGCGUAAAGCGCGUGUAGGUGGUGGGACAAGUCUGCUGUGAAAGCGCCUGGCUUAACCGGGCGAGGUCGGCGGAAACUGUCCGACUCGAGGACGGUAGAGGGGGGUGGAAUUCCCGGUGUAGUGGUGAAAUGCGUAGAGAUCGGGAGGAACACCUGUGGCGAAGGCGGCCCCCUGGGCCGGCCCUGACACUGAGACGCGAAGGCGUGGGGAGCGAACGGG
rnacentral:rRNA from 1 species